rnacentral:rRNA from 1 species
AGAGUUUGAUCAUGGCUCAGAACGAACGCUGGCGGCAGGCCUAACACAUGCAAGUCGAGCGCUACCUUCGGGUGGAGCGGCGGACGGGUUAGUAACGCGUGGGAACAUACCCUUUUCUACGGAAUAGCCUCGGGAAACUGAGAGUAAUACCGUAUAAGCCCUUCGGGGGAAAGAUUUAUCGGGAAAGGAUUGGCCCGCGUUAGAUUAGAUAGUUGGUGGGGUAAUGGCCUACCAAGUCUACGAUCUAUAGCUGGUUUUAGAGGAUGAUCAGCAACACUGGGACUGAGACACGGCCCAGACUCCUACGGGAGGCAGCAGUGGGGAAUCUUAGACAAUGGGCGAAAGCCUGAUCUAGCCAUGCCGCGUGAGUGAUGAAGGUCUUAGGAUCGUAAAGCUCUUUCGCUAGGGAUGAUAAUGACAGUACCUAGUAAAGAAGCCCCGGCUAACUCCGUGCCAGCAGCCGCGGUAAUACGGAGGGGGCUAGCGUUGUUCGGAAUUACUGGGCGUAAAGCGUACGUAGGCGGAUCAGAAAGUAUGGGGUGAAAUCCCAGGGCUUAACCCUGGAACUGCCUCAUAAACUCCUGGUCUUGAGUUCGAGAGAGGUGAGUGGAAUUGCGAGUGUAGAGGUGAAAUUCGUAGAUAUUCGCAGGAACACCAGUGGCGAAGGCGGCUCACUGGCUCGAUACUGACGCUGAGGUACGAAAGUGUGGGGAGCAAACAGGAUUAGAUACCCUGGUAGUCCACACCGUAAACGAUGAAUGCCAGUCGUCGGGCAGUAUACUGUUCGGUGACACACCUAACGGAUUAAGCAUUCCGCCUGGGGGAGUACGGUCGCAAGAUUAAAACUCAAGGAAUUUGACGGGGGCCCGCACAAGCGGUG